UUCAGUUCGCAAUCCGUCCCUUUGCACCACCUGGCGGUAGUUUCGUGAAUGAUUUUAACACGCGACUGAUUUGCAUUUAAAGCAGCGGCGUUAUUACCCAUUUUGGUUGUCUACCUACUGUAGGCCUUUUGUGUACUUAGAAAAAGUCUUAGAUCUUUGAGUUCAGUUCAUGAAAAAUGGGGGCAAAUACAAAAGUGUUGCAUUUAUAAUUGUGUUCAGUAUAUAAAAAAAAUCUGUGACAGUAAUUUCUUAAAGGGGUCAUAUGAUACGAUUUCAAAUUUUCCUUUCUCUUUGGAGUGUUACAAGCUCUUGGUAUAUAAAGAAGAUCUGUGAAGUUGCAAAGACUAAAGUCUCAAAUCCAAAGAGAUAUUCUUUAUAAAAGUUGAGAUUCAUCCACGCCCUCCUGAAACAGCUGGUUGUAACACGCCCCCACAUAUAUACAUCAGAUUUGCAUAAAGCCACCCAGAUGUUCACGCAAAGAAAGAAGGCGUACCUUUUAUUCUCGUUGUAGUAUUGUUGUUGCCGCUGCCGCAAUGUCAUAUAGAUGCAGUGUGUUUGUGACGACUGGGUGAAGGAGGAGCUGGAAACAUGUGCGAGUAUUAACAAUUUAAUGAAAAAAGCAAACAAAACAAACAAGAGUACAAACAAUGCAGGGAAGACGACAAUCCAAGAUGGUGACGGUGAGUAAUCCAGAUGGUGAUGGUGAGUGGGCAGCAGGAGAGGAUGGCACAGGAACUGCGGGGAAUCGAGACGAAGGUAAGGUAGUGAUGCUUGUGCGAAGAGUGGAUGAGGUUCCGGGGGAAGACACGGACAUCCAACGCAGAACAACACAGAAGCAAAGAACAUUACCAACAUGCAACAACGCUCUCACAAACACAAGACGUAAGACAAGCCAUAUAUAUAGGGAGAGGGUAAUGAGUGACAGCUGCUGCUGAUGACAAUUAACGGAGACGCCCACAAGCUAAUCAGUGCAGACGCGAAACACACAGACUUCACCACAAAGUGCAAAACCCAGAGAUCAUGGUUUACCAACCAUGACAGUGUUUCACUGAAAGCAAAACUACUUUGUUUGGCUUUCCAAAAGAGGACAAUAUCCACUUCGUCAUGCCUGGGGCUGAUCCGUGCUGGUCGCUGAGGAAAUACAUUAACUUUGCACUGUGGAUCGCCGAAUCGUCUUUCACCGUGGACAAAGCCAGCCCGGGGUCGUCACAUGUAGUUGCUGCAAGACCAAGGUAUGCUCCUACGUAGAAUCCGCCUGCCGCACCAUUCUCAAGCCGCCGGCCUCUGCUCAUUCAAGCCAGCCGCGGCUCACUCUAAACCUCCAGCCUCUGCUCACUCAAGGCCGCGGUGUGUGACGCUGUUUCAUUGAGAAAUCGAAACUACUUUGUUUUUGCCUUCCAAAAGAAAACACGACUAGAAAUCAUGUUUAUAUCAUGUUUAUAAUGCAACCUGUCCUCCAACUAAUACGCUCGUAUAGGUCAUUUGUCCAAAUCCCUGAAAUACGACCCAUCAGAGCGUAUACUACAAUUGCGCCCCUAUCAGCAGAAGGUCGUUUUCAUAUUAAUGUUUUGUACUCUUUUAUUUGCACUGUGAUUUGCGUUUCGUGUAGCUCAGUUGGUAGAUUAUUGCGUUAUACCUUGAUAUGCAAUCAUGCUAUCAUGGGUUUGAUCCUAGAGAACGGACGUGCACGUAAAAUGUAUAUGCUCAAUAAAUCAUAAUUUAGCAUGAUUUCUGUGAGGGUU
ensembl:lncRNA